rnacentral:rRNA from 1 species
CCAGAGUACCAAUUGGAGGGCAAGUCUGGUGCCAGCAGCCGCGGUAAUUCCAGCUCCAAUAGCGUAUAUUAAACUUGUUGCAGUUAAAAAGCUCGUAGUUGAAUUUCAGCGUUUCGCGUGUGCCUCUUUUGGCCCAUCUCGUCUCGCUUUUUUUAUUACUUUGAGAAAAUUAGAGUGUUUCAAGCAGGCUUUUGUCUUGAAUACUUGAGCAUGGAAUAAUAGAGUAGGACCUUGGUUCUAUUUUGUUGGUUUUGUUACCUUGGUAAUGGUUAAUAGGAACGGUUGGGGGCAUUCGUAUUUAACUGUCAGAGGUGAAAUUCUUAGAUUUGUUAAAGACGAACUACUGCGAAAGCAUUUGCCAAGGACGUUUCCAUUAAUCAAGAACGAAAGUUAGGGGAUCGAAGACGAUCAGAUACCGUCGUAGUCCUAACCAUAAACUAA